GACGAACCACACAAACGUUAUUCGGAAUUACUGGGCUUAAAGGGUGCGUAGGCGGCGCGGAAAGUUGGGUGUGAAAUCCCUCGGCUCAACCGAGGAACUGCGCUCAAUACUACCGUGCUCGAGGGAGACAGAGGUGAGCGGGACUUAGGGUGGAGCGGUGAAAUGCGUAGAUAUCUGGAGGAACACCGGUGGCGAAGGCGACAUCCUGGACCAACACUGACGCUGAGGAGCGAAAGCCAGGGGAGCAAACGGG
rnacentral:rRNA from 1 species